rnacentral:rRNA from 1 species
AGCGAACGCUGGCGGCGUGCUUAACACAUGCAAGUCGAGCGGUAAGGCCCUUUCGGGGGUGCACGAGCGGCGAACGGGUGAGUAACACGUGGGUGACCUGCCCUCAGCUCUGGGAUAAGCCUGGGAAACCGGGUCUAAUACUGGAUAUGACUCCAUGACGCAUGUUGUGGGGUGGAAAGUCUUGUGCGGCUGAGGAUGGGCCCGCGGCCUAUCAGCUUGUUGGUGGGGGAUGGCCUACCAAGGCGACGACGGGUAGCCGGCCUGAGAGGGCGACCGGCCACACUGGGACUGAGACACGGCCCAGACCUCCGUACGGGA